UUAAGUGACUAAGCGUACAAGGUGGAUGCCUUGGCAAUCAGAGGCGACGAAGGACGUGCUAAUCUGCGAAAAGCUUGGAUGAGUCGAUAAGAGGCGUUUAAUCCAAGAUGUCCGAAUGGGGAAACCCAGUAGAUGAAGAAUCUACUAUCACUUACUGAAUCCAUAGGUAAGUGAGGCAAACCGGGAGAACUGAAACAUCUAAGUACCCCGAGGAAAAGAAAUCAACCGAGAUUUCGUUAGUAGCGGCGAGCGAACGCGAAGGAGCCUGUUAGUGAUAAUGACAGAGACAGAGGAACAAGCUGGGAAGCUUGGCGAUACAGGGUGAUAGCCCCGUACUCGAAGUCCAGGUCAUGGUACUAAGCUAACGACAAGUAGGGCGGGACACGUGAUAUCCUGUUUGAAGAUGGGGGGACCAUCCUCCAAGGCUAAAUACUCCUGAUUGACCGAUAGUGAACCAGUACUGUGAAGGAAAGGCGAAAAGAACCCCGGUGAGGGGAGUGAAAUAGAACCUGAAACCUUGUACGUACAAGCAGUGGGAGCCCUUUAAGGGUGACUGCGUACCUUUUGUAUAAUGGGUCAGCGACUUAUAUUUUGUAGCGAGGUUAACCGAAUAGGGGAGCCGAAGGGAAACCGAGUCUUAACUGGGCGUCUAGUUGCAAGGUAUAGACCCGAAACCCGGUGAUCUAGCCAUGGGCAGGUUGAAGGUUGGGUAACACUAACUGGAGGACCGAACCGACUAAUGUUGAAAAAUUAGCGGAUGACUUGUGGCUGGGGGUGAAAGGCCAAUCAAACCGGGAGAUAGCUGGUUCUCCCCGAAAUCUAUUUAGGUAGAGCCUUGAGCGGACACCUUCGGGGGUAGAGCACUGUUUCGGCUAGGGGUCCAUCCCGGAUUACCAACCCGAUGCAAACUACGAAUACCGAAGAGUGAUACUCAGGAGACACACGGCGGGUGCUAACGUCCGUCGUGGAGAGGGAAACAACCCAGACCGCCAGCUAAGGUCCCAAAGUCUAUAUUAAGUGGGAAACGAAGUGGGAAGGCUUAGACAGCUAGGAUGUUGGCUUAGAAGCAGCCAUCAUUUAAAGAAAGCGUAAUAGCUCACUAGUCGAGUCGGCCUGCGCGGAAGAUGUAACGGGGCUCAAAUAUAGCACCGAAGCUGCGGCAUCAGUAGCAAUACUGUUGGGUAGGGGAGCGUUCUGUAAGCGGAUGAAGAUGGCUCGAGAGGGCUGUUGGACGUAUCAGAAGUGCGAAUGCUGACAUAAGUAACGAUAAAACGGGUGAAAAACCCGUUCGCCGGAAGACCAAGGGUUCCUGUCCAACGUUAAUCGGGGCAGGGUGAGUCGGCCCCUAAGGCGAGGCUGAAAAGCGUAGUCGAUGGGAAACGGGUUAAUAUUCCCGUACUUGGAUAAACUGCGAUGUGGGGACGGAGCAGGUUAGGUUAUCGCACUGUUGGAUAUGUGCGUUUAAGUUGGUAGGUGUGAAGUUUAGGCAAAUCCGGACUUCUUUAACACCGAGAGAUGAUGACGAGGCUCUACGGAGCUGAAGUAACCGAUACCACACUUCCAGGAAAAGCCACUAAGCUUCAGGUUUAUCUAAACCGUACUGAAAACCGACACAGGUGGUCAGGUAGAGAAUACUCAGGCGCUUGAGAGAACUCGGGUGAAGGAACUAGGCAAAAUAGCACCGUAACUUCGGGAGAAGGUGCGCCGGCGUAGAUUGUAGUCCCUUGCGGAUGAAGGUUGAACCGGUCGAAGAUACCAGCUGGCUGCAACUGUUUAUUAAAAACACAGCACUCUGCAAACACGAAAGUGGACGUAUAGGGUGUGAUGCCUGCCCGGUGCUGGAAGGUUAAUUGAUGGUGUAAUCGAAAGAGAAGCUCCUGAUCGAAGCCCCAGUAAACGGCGGCCGUAACUAUAACGGUCCUAAGGUAGCGAAAUUCCUUGUCGGGUAAGUUCCGACCUG
rnacentral:rRNA from 1 species